rnacentral:rRNA from 2 species
GAGUUUGAUCAUGGCUCAGGAUGAACGCUAGCGACAGGCCUAACACAUGCAAGUCGAGGGGCAGCACAAGGAGUAAUCUGAGGUGGCGACCGGCGCACGGGUGAGUAACACGUAUGCAACCUACCUGUAAGCGGGGGAUAACCCGGAGAAAUUCGGACUAAUACCGCACAAUACUGUAAACCCGCAUGGGUUAACAGUUAAAUAUUUAUAGUUUACAGAUGGGCAUGCGUAUGAUUAGAUAGUUGGUGAGGUAAGGGCUCACCAAGUCAACGAUCAUUAGGGGUUCUGAGAGGAAGGUCCCCCACAUUGGAACUGAGACACGGUCCAAACUCCUACGGGAGGCAGCAGUGAGGAAUAUUGGUCAAUGGGCGAGAGCCUGAACCAGCCAAGUCGCGUGAAGGAAGAAGGUUCUAUGGAUUGUAAACUUCUUUUGCAGGGGAAUAAAGUUCGCUACGAGUAGCGAUUUGUAAGUACCUUGCGAAUAAGGAUCGGCUAACUCCGUGCCAGCAGCCGCGGUAAUAC